rnacentral:rRNA from 1 species
GAUGAACGCUGGCUGUGUGCCUAAUACAUGCAUGUCGAACGAAGCACUUGUGCUUAGUGGCGAAUGGGUGAGUAACACGUACUUAAUCUACCUCUAGGUUUGGGACAACAAUUGGAAACGAUUGCUAAUACCGAAUAUUCCUUCUCUUCGCAUGGAGAGUUGGUAAAAGGCCCGUUUGGGUCGCCAAGAGAUGAGAGUGCGGUACAUUAGUUAGUUGGUAGGGUAAUGGCCUACCAAGACGAUGAUGUAUAGCGGGGUUGAGAAGCUGAACCGCCACACUGGGACUGAGAUACGGCCCAGACUCCUACGGGAGGCAGCAGUAGGGAAUAUUCCACAAUGAGCGAAAGCUUGAUGGAGCGACACAGCGUGCAGGAUGAAGGUCUUCGGAUUGUAAACUGCUGUUAUGAGGGAAGAAAAAACCGAUGUAGGAAAUGACAUCGGCUUGACGGUACCUUAUCAGAAAGCACCGGCAAACUAUGUGCCAGCC